rnacentral:tRNA from 1 species
GCCCGCUUAGCUCAGUCGGUUAGAGCACCUGACUGUUAAUCAGGGGGUCCUAGGUUCGAGUCCUAGAGCGGGCG